rnacentral:rRNA from 1 species
GACGAACGCUGGCGGCGUGCUUAACACAUGCAAGUCGAACGGUGAAGCGCCUUCCUUUUUGGUGGGUGUGGAUGAGUGGCGAACGGGUGAGUAACACGUGAGUAACCUGCCCCCUUCUUCUGGAUAACCGCAUGAAAGUGUGGCUAAUACGGGAUAUUCUGGGUCUGUCGCAUGAUGGGUCUGGGAAAGAUAUUGUUUCGGUGGGGGAUGGGCUCGCGGCCUAUCAGCUUGUUGGUGGGGUGAUGGCCUACCAAGGCGGUGACGGGUAGCCGGCCUGAGAGGGUGGACGGUCACACUGGGACUGAGACACGGCCCAGACUCCUACGGGAGGCAGCAGUGAGGAAUAUUGCACAAUGGGCGCAAGCCUGAUGCAGCGACGCCGCGGGAGGGAUGGAGGCCUUCGGGUUGUGAACCUCUUUCGCCAGUGAAGCAGGCCUGCCUCGUUUGUGGGUGGGUUGACGGUAGCUGGAUAAGAAGCGCCGGCUAACUACGUG